AGCAGCCGCGGUAAUUCCAGCUCCAAUAGCGUAUAUUAAAGUUGUUGCAGUUAAAAAGCUCGUAGUUGAAUUUCGGGGUUAGUAGGUUGGUCAUGCCUCUGGUAUGUACUGGUCUCACUGAUUCCUCCUUCCUGAUGAACCUUAAUGCCAUUAAUUUGGUGUUUUGGGGAAUUUGGACUGUUACUUUGAAAAAAUUAGAGUGUUUAAAGCAAGCUAACGCUUGAAUACAUUAGCAUGGAAUAAUGAAAUAGGACGUUCGAUCCUAUUUUGUUGGUUUCUAGGAUUGACGUAAUGAUUAAUAGGGAUAGUUGGGGGCAUUAGUAUUCAAUUGUCAGAGGUGAAAUUCUUGGAUUUAUUGAAGACUAACCACUGCGAAAGCAUUUGCCAAGGAUGUUUUCAUUAAUCAAGAACGAAAGUUAGGGGAUCGAAGACGAUCAGAUACCGUCGUAGUCUUAACCAUAAACUAUGCCGACUAGGGAUCGGAUGAUGUUAAUUUUUUAAUGACUCAUUCGGCGCCUUA
rnacentral:misc_RNA from 1 species